UGGGAGACAUACUUCUUUAUAUGCCCAUAUGGACCUGCUAAGCUAUGGAAUGUAAAGAAGUAUGUAUCUCA
ensembl:miRNA MIR1-1 microRNA 1-1